GAUGCUAAAUGUGUUUAUGUUAAUUAUUGGUCAAUUACUGUGAAACUUUUGCAUGACAUUAACCACCUGACAACAUUUCAUGACUGCCACGGUCCUAGGUGUAACGUUAUCCAAUUGAUGUGAGAAAUAUCCAAAUGUCUGUGUUUGUAGCCAGCACUUUCAGCCAGAAGAUUUCAAACGGAACGGAAGUCUCAACUGAUGGGAUUGCCAUGUCAUCGAACGUUGAAAAGGGACGCUAUUCUAUUGAUUUCCCUGUUCACCUCAAAGAGGAAGCUAUCCGAUCAGCCAAUAUCGGCGCAGCAGAAAAUUACCUAGCUAACUAGCUACAGUAGCUAUAGCGAAGUAACUACUGCGGAGGCUAAUGUGACUGUGUUCUAUUAAGAGUCCGAUCCCAUCAACAUCUGCAGAGGCAUCAACAUCAAGCUCAGCACAAGGAACUAGUUAAUCCUGCUGCUAAUGACCUUGACACCAGCUUUAGUAGUACAGAGCCUGUAGACCCAUUGGAUGAAAGCUUUCAGCCUCGAAUAAACUCAAGCACAACAUCAUCUGACUUCGAAACAUGCAAGGACAGCCAAAGGAGACUUGCAGUACAUACAAAUCUUCUGCAAGAGGUCGAAGCAGUGAGUGGUGAAGAACCGCCACAGCGCCUGCUAAACAUGCUACCAUUACCCAACAAAAGAAGAGGUUGACUAGCUGAAAACCAUUAUGGAACCUGCCUGAAACAUUCAACCUACACAACAUCCAUAUUAAGUUAGACUGAUGUUGUAGUACAAUAUAGAAUGCCUAGUAUGCUCACAAUUGCAUUGUGGUAUAGAUAUUGUUAGCUGUUGUACAUAUGUAUACAAGGGUGUUUUAUAUGAUCUCUUUUACAUGUGUACUGACAAGUAACUAAACGA